rnacentral:rRNA from 1 species
CGGGUGAGUAAUACAUAAGUAACCUGCCCUAGACAGGGGGAGUAACUAUUGGAAACGAUAGCUAAGACCGCAUAGGUACGGACACUGCAUGGUGACCGUAUUAAAAGUGCCUCAAAGCACUGGUAGAGGAUGGACUUAUGGCGCAUUAGCUGGUUGGCGGGGUAACGGCCCACCAAGGCGACGAUGCGUAGCCGACCUGAGAGGGUGACCGGCCACACUGGGACUGAGACACGGCCCAGACUCCUACGGGAGGCAGCAUG